rnacentral:SRP_RNA from 1 species
CACUAGACGGGGAACUAGCGGUGCCUUGUAACCUGCAAUCCGCUACAGCAGGGUUUAAUUCCUAGUGGAGGGCUUUUAGCAGUUUAAAAGACUAAUAUAUGCGGUGUUGAUUGAUAGAUCUUACGCAACAGGAGACUGUGAACCAUGUCAGGAGGGGAACCUAGCAGCAUUAAGCAGCCACUUCUGUGUGCCGUAAGGCAACCUAUCAUGAGUCGG